AGCAGCCGCGGUAAUUCCAGCUCCAAUAGCGUAUAUUAAAGUUGUUGCAGUUAAAAAGCUCGUAGUUGAAUUUCGGGAUCAAUAUGUUGGUCGUGCCUUGGUACGUACUGGCGUCAUUGGUUUCUACCUUCUGAAGAACCUCGAUGUCAUUAAUUUGGUGUCUUGGGGAAUCAGGACUGUUACUUUGAAAAAAUUAGAGUGUUUAAAGCAAGCUCACGCUUGAAUACAUUAGCAUGGAAUAAUGAAAUAGGACGUUUGAUUCUAUUUUGUUGGUUUCUAGGAUCGACGUAAUGAUUAAUAGGGAUAGUUGGGGGCAUUAGUAUUCAAUUGUCAGAGGUGAAAUUUUUGGAUUAUUGAAGACUAACUACUGCGAAAGCAUUUGCCAAGGAUGUUUUCAUUAAUCAAGAACGAAAGUUAGGGGAUCGAAGACGAUCAGAUACCAUCGUAGUCUUAACCAUAAAACUAUGCCGACUAGGGG
rnacentral:rRNA from 1 species